UAAGAAAGCUGAUCCCGGGACUAUUCUGAUACAUAAUACAGAAUGAUUUUGACUAAAUGACAAAUUGUGUACUCAAAGACACCAGUGGAAAUUAAGUGGAAGUGGGAGACUGAACCCAUGAAUCCCCUGAACAAACUACCAAGACAGGUAAAAGUAUCUGGGAUACUCCAGAUUACUGAUCUGCAGCCCCCAAUAAAUUGUGAUGCUUGUUGCUUCAUGGGAGAUCCCAACUCUGGAAUUUGAUCAUGUUUCCUAUCUUCGUGGCACUUCAUGGGGGACAAUGACUCCCCUGACCUCCAAGGUUGUUGAUUAAGGCUUCAUGGCACUCAAUACGUCACAGGAGACCAGAUCCAGACUCAGAAGGAAAAAAUUAAUUUGGAAUCUGGACAUAUGUUGUUAGCAUCCAAAAAAAAAAAACAAGAGUCAACAUAGGUGGUGUCCUGUUAGAGCUCAGAAAAUUUAAGAUUUUGGAGCAUUUUGGAAUUGUGGAUUAGGGAUACUCAAUCUGUAUAUAAAUUACAAAGAGCAACAGCCCAAGCACUGAUCCUUCAUUUGACUCCCCUUUUGAUGUCAUCUUAUACAGAAAAUGAUUCUCCCUCCAUGCCUUGUUGUUUCAACAUUUAAUCCAGAUCUUCACCCUUAAUCACUGGCUCUUACAGCUGAACUAACGAUCAGCCACUCAUAGGUUACCACAUCAAACACUUUCUGAAAGUGAGGAAUGUCUUAUGUUCUAAAGCAGUGCUUCUCAAUUUGAGUGCUGGUAGUCCCCUGUGGCUGUAGAUUUUUGUUCUAGUCUGUUGCACAAUCAGUGAAUCAUUUUUGCCUGUAAUUGAUCUCACUUUUUAAUCAUCACUGAUUAUUUUUCUUCUUCUCUUGUGCUAGGGUCCUAAUUUUUGAUCCUGAGGUGGUUUGUCAUAUGGUGGAUGCUGCAACGCGCUGUUAAAGUGCAUGGUCCCAAUCUCUCUCUCUCUCUCUUCUCUUAUUCUGCAUUAAAACAUCACAGUAGUGCAGCCGUGCAAUGGUCAGAUUAACAAUUACAAACAAUUUAGAAACGUUAGUUUUUUGCCAUUACUUUAAAUGUUGUACAAUAAAGAAGAGUUACUGCCCCAUCAAAAUGCCCUGUUUAAUCUCCUGAUGAAAAUAAAGUAAAGGGAAAGUUAAUUGCAGCAAUCUGCAACAACAAUUUAUUUCUUUUAUAGUCCACAAUCACACAAGGAAUUCUUAAAAGGGCUUUAACAAGCCCUUGUUUUUUGGCAGACCCCCAGCCCCUUGACUCCCUAAGAAGGAGGAGGAGGAGGAGGUUGGAAGCAUGCACUGAUAUAGUGUGUCGUCACACCUACCACACACCAAACCACCUCAGGAUCCCAAAUUAGGACCCAUGUGCCGUCAUGCAAUUGGUGACACCUCAAAACCACACUUGUUCGAAUGGAAAGGAACAAUGUGAGGUUUUUUUACAGCAGCUGGAGUGCCAGUCCUGCCACCAACCCCUGAGUUCUCCCUGAGUAGGAGGACCCUUAAGAAGACAAGAAAAUAAAACCCUUUUUGAUGAAACAAAUGGAAAAAAAUCUUGGGAAAUGCAACUCAGAGAGAAACCACCUUCCAGGUAGGUUGGGUGUGAAAUGCAUGUCAGAAAAUUGGGUAAAUAAAACACACAAAACAGAAUACAAGUAAUCUUGCACAUUGUGAUCCUUCUGAGGUUACCAUGAAAAUAUACUUUAGAUAGCAGCUCCAUCCUUCACUAAAGUAGACCUGAGAAUGAACAUUGACAUCCAGUUGCAGAGCUGGUCGUACUGCAUAUCCUUGAGUCCGUAAAAGGCAGAGCUUGUGGCAACCUCCAUUCAAUUGGAAAUGGAAACUUUGUUAAUUCUGGUGCAUCACUGUUUUCCUUUCCCUGA